rnacentral:rRNA from 1 species
AGAGUUUGAUCCUGGCUCAGAACGAACGCUGGCGGCGCGUUUUAAGCAUGCAAGUCGAACGAGAAAGUAUCCUUCGGGGUGCAAGUACAGUGGCGAACGGGUGAGUAACACGUAGUCAACCUACCCUAUAGUGGGGAAUAACUUCAAGAAAUUGGAGCUAAUACCGCAUAAUCUCUUUCUACAUAAGUAAUGAAGAGGAAAGAUUUAUCGCUAAAGGAAGGGACUGCGUUCCAUUAGCUUGAUGGUAAGGUAAUAGCUUACCAUGGCGACGAUGGAUAGCCGGCCUGAGAGGGUGACCGGCCACAUUGGGACUGCGACACGGCCCAGACUCCUACGGGAGGCAGCAGCUAAGAAUCUUCCCCAAUGGACGCAAGUCUGAGGGAGCGACGCCGCGUGGAUGAUGAAGGUCGUUAAGAUUGUAAAAUCCUUUUCUGCAAGAAGAAAGUAUAUGUAACAUUAUGCUGACGGUAUUGUAGGAAUAAGCUCCGGCUAAUUACGUGCCAGCAGCCGCGGUAAUACGUAGGGAGCGAGCGUUGUUCGGAAUCAUUGGGCGUAAAGGGUGCGUAGGCGAGAUGUUAAGUUGGAUGUGCAAUUUCAGGGCUCAACUUUGAACUUGCAUCCAAAACUGGCAACUUUGAGAUAGGCAGAGGUAAGCGGAAUUUCUGGUGUAGGAGUGAAAUCUAUAGAUAUCAGAAAGAACACCGGCGGCGAAGGCGGCUUACUGGGCUGUAUCUGACGCUGAAGCACGAAAGCUAGGGGAGCGAACGGGAUUAGAUACCCCGGUAGUCCUAGCCGUAAACGUUGUAUACUAGGUGUAUGAGGAUCGAUCCCUCAUAUGCCAGAGCUAACGCAUUAAGUAUACCGCCUGGGGAGUACGGUCGCAAGACUGAAACUCAAAGGAAUUGACGGGGGCCCGCACAAGCGGUGGAGCAUGUGGUUUAAUUCGAUUAUACGCGAGAAACCUUACCAGGGCUUGACAUGUAUUUGACGACGUAAGAGAUUGCGUCUCCCUUUGGGCAAAUAUACAGGUGCUGCAUGGUUGUCGUCAGCUCGUGUCGUGAGAUGUUGGGUUAAGUCCCGCAACGAGCGCAACCCCUAUUCACUGUUGCUAACAGGUCGUGCUGAGCACUCGGUGGAGACUGACUGUGAAAGCAGAAGGAAGGUGGGGAUGACGUCAAAUCCUCAUGGCCCUUAUGUCCUGGGCUACACACGUGCUACAAUGGCCGGUACAAUGAGUUGCUAAACUGCGAGGUCAAGCUAAUCUCAAAAAACCGGUCUCAUUUCGGAUUGAAGUCUGAAACUCGACUUCAUGAAGCUGGAAUCGCUAGUAAUCGUAUAUCAGCAUGAUACGGUGAAUACGUUCCCGGGCCUUGUACACACCGCCCGUCACACCAUCCGAGUUGGUUGUACCCCAAGAUGCCAAGCUAACUAGCAAUAGAGGCAGGUAUCAAAGGUAAAGCUAGCGAGGAGGGUGAAGUCGUAACAAGGUA